AACCCGACUCCAUGAAGCUGGAUUCGCUAGUAAUCGCGCAUCAGCCAUGGCGCGGUGAAUACGUUCCCGGGCCUUGUACACACCGCCCGUCAAGCCAUGGGAGCCGGGGGUGCUUGAAGUGCGUCGCCGCAAGGCGCGCCCUAGAGCAAAACCGGUGACUGGGGCUAAGUCGUAACAAGGUAAC
rnacentral:rRNA from 1 species